GAAUUAUUGGGCAUAAAGAAUUUGUAGAUGGCUUUUUAAGUUAGCUAUCAAAUCCCAAGUCAACCCAUGUCAAGGUGUGAAAACUACCAAGUACGAAGGCGGGGGAUAGUAGGGGGCAGAGGGAAUUUUCGGUGCGGCUGUGAAAUGCAUAGAGAUCGGAAAGAACACCAAUGACAAAAAUACUCUGCUAGGCAGACACUGGCACUUGAGAAACUGAAGCUAGGGGAGCGAAUGUCAAUAUGUCAUUAGAUACCCCAAUAGUCCUAGCUGUAGAAGAUGGUUAGUUAUCUUCUCCAACUAACCACU
rnacentral:ncRNA from 1 species